CCUGCACCUGCCGGCGACCGGCGCACGGGUGAGUAACACGUAUGGAACCUGCCCGCCACAGGGGGAUAACCCGGGGAAACCCGGCCUAAUACCCCAUGCCCGCCCGGACCGGGCAUCCGGUCCGGGCGAAAGGAGGAAUCCGAUGGCGGCUGGGCAUGCGGCGCAUUAGCUUGACGGCGGGGUAACGGCUCACCGUGGCGACGAUGCGGUAGGGGUUCUGAGAGGAACGGCCCCCCACACUGGAACUGAGACACGGUCCAGACUCCUACGGGAGGCAGCAG
rnacentral:rRNA from 1 species